GCCAGAGUGGCAUAGUGGUGUGUGUGUUGGACUACAACUCUCAAAACCAAGAUUCAAUUCCUGGCUUGGCCA